rnacentral:rRNA from 1 species
UACAGAGGUCCCAAGCGUUGUUCGGAUUCAUUGGGCGUAAAAGGUGUGUAGGUGGCGCCGUAAGUCGGGUGUGAAAUCUCGGGGCUUAACUCCGAAACCGCAUUCGAUACUGCGGGGCUUGAGGACUGGAGAGGAGACUGGAAUUCAUGGUGUAGCAGUGAAAUGCGUAGAGAUCAGGAGGAAGACCAGUGGCGAAGGCGGGUCUCUGGACAGUUCCUGACACUGAGACACGAAGGCCAGGGGAGCAGACGGG